rnacentral:tRNA from 1 species
UGCAAUGUAGUUUAUUAAAAAUACUUACUUUACACGUAAGAGUACCCUUUAUUUGGGCUUUGUUA